rnacentral:tRNA from 1 species
GGGCAGGUAGCUCAGUCGGUAGAGCAAAGGACUGAAAAUCCUUGUGUCGGGGGUUCAAUUCCCUCCCUGCCCACAA